rnacentral:rRNA from 1 species
UGAUGCGGUCAUACCAAGGCUACUACACCAGAUCCCAUCAGAACCCUGAAGUUAAGCGCCUUUGGGCCGGAAUAGUACUGGGAUGGGUGACCU